AACGAACGCUGGCGGCAGGCCUAACACAUGCAAGUCGAGCGAGGACUUCGGUUCUAGCGGCGGACGGGUGAGUAACGCGUGGGAAUGUGCCCUUCUCUACGGAAUAGCCCUGGGAAACUGGGAGUAAUACCGUAUACGCCCUAUUGGGGAAAGAUUUAUCGGAGAAGGAUCAGCCCGCGUUGGAUUAGGUAGUUGGUGGGGUAAUGGCCUACCAAGCCGACGAUCCAUAGCUGGUUUGAGAGGAUGAUCAGCCACACUGGGACUGAGACACGGCCCAGACUCCUACGGGAGGCAGCAGUGGGGAAUCUUAGACAAUGGGGGCAACCCUGAUCUAGCCAUGCCGCGUGAGUGAUGAAGGCCUUAGGAUUGUAAAAUUCUUUCACCGGGGACGAUAAUGACGGUACCCGGAGAAGAAGCCCCGGCUAACUUCGU
rnacentral:rRNA from 1 species